AUGAACGCUGGCGGCGUGCCUAAUACAUGCAAGUCGAGCGAACGGACGAGAAGCUUGCUUCUCUGAUGUUAGCGGCGGACGGGUGAGUAACACGUGGAUAACCUACCUAUAAGACUGGGAUAACUUCGGGAAACCGGAGCUAAUACCGGAUAAUAUUUUGAACCGCAUGGUUCAAAAGUGAAAGACGGUCUUGCUUUCACUUAUAGAUGGAUCCGCGCUGCAUUAGCUAGUUGGUAAGGUAACGGCUUACCAAGGCAACGAUGCAUAGCCGACCUGAGAGGGUGAUCGGCCACACUGGAACUGAGACACGGUCCAGACUCCUACGGGAGGCAGCAGUAGGGAAUCUUCCGCAAUGGGCGAAAGCCUGACGGAGCAACGCCGCGUGAGUGAUGAAGGUCUUCGGAUCGUAAAACUCUGUUAUUAGGGAAGAACAUAUGUGUAAGUAACUGUGCACAUCUUGACGGUACCUAAUCAGAAAGCCACGGCUAACUACGUG
rnacentral:rRNA from 1 species